rnacentral:sRNA from 12 species
UGUAAUCACAGACAGAAAUGUACUGUAUACAUUUGCAGUUGAUAAUUGCUAUUAAGCGUAAUGUAAGUACGCCGACGCAAAUGGGGAGAGCCGCUUUUGAGCGGUUCUUUUUUGUUUAAAA